ACAAAAUAUCCAAAUAAAAAGAGAGAAAAGAAGGGGUUCUCCCCCCCUCUUUUCUUUUUUUUUAAACCCAUUGUGAACUGUUUUUAUGUCUCUGGUGUGGUUAAGAGUCGCCUUUUUUUUCUAAAAGCGAUAGCGAGCAAUCGCUACCCACCUUUUUUAAACUAAUAACUUUUUUUAAAUUGGACUUUAUAAAACACUUUGAAAAAAAGUUGAUUUCUUUUUUUUAAAAAAAUUUAAAAAUAAUAAA
rnacentral:misc_RNA from 1 species